rfam:Triticum aestivum genome assembly, contig: Triticum_aestivum_CS42_TGACv1_scaffold_595884_7BS
GUAGUACUCCCUCUGUCCAAAAAUACUUGUCACCAAAAUGGAUAAAAGAGGAUGUAUCUAGAUGUGUUUUUAGUUCUAAAUACAAUUCUUUUUGUUCAUUUUGAUGACAAGUAUUUCCGGACGGAGGGAGUAGUAC